rnacentral:rRNA from 1 species
GACGAACGCUGGCGGCGUGCUUAACACAUGCAAGUCGAACGGAAAGGCCCUGCUUGCAGGGUACUCGAGUGGCGAACGGGUGAGUAACACGUGGGUGAUCUGCCCUGCACUUCGGGUUAAGCCUGGGAAACUGGGUCUAAUACCGGAUAGGAGCCAUUUUUAGUGUGAUGGUUGGAAAGUUUUUUUGGUGUAGGAUGAGCUCGCGGCCUAUCAGCUCGUUGGUGGGGUGAUGGCCUACCAAGGCGGCGGCGGGUAGCCGGCCUGAGAGGGUGGACGGCCACAUUGGGACUGAGAUACGGCCCAGACUCCUACGGGAGGCAGAAGUGGGGAAUAUUGCACAAGGGGCGCAAGCCUGAUGCAGCGACGCCGCGUGGGGGAUGACGGCCUUCGGGUUGUAAACUCCUUUCGCUAGGGACGAAGCUUUUUGUGACGGUACCUAGAUAAGAAGCACCGGCUAACUACGUG